rnacentral:lncRNA from 1 species
AGUCUGCCUCUGCUUCUCCGGCCCCACCCAUUCCCGUCCCAUUCUCUGUUCCUCUUCCUCUUUCUCUCCCUCUCCAACCCCAUCUUUUGUUUGAAAAGUUUCAAGUAGAAGGGAUUCCGGGUUCCCAGCCAAGUCACCGCAUAACGAGCGCAGUCACCGGGGCUCCGUUUAUUAAACUGUUGCUCCAGGGCAC